UAAGAAAUUUAAUUUUAAACCCACCCAUGAAAAAAUUGAAUUGAAAGAACCGGCCAAUUGGCCAGAAAACGCCGCCGAAGUCCAACGGCGCCGUGGCAGGAAAUUCACAAAUUGCCUCCGAUUAGGCCCUUCCCGAUUUCUGUUUCGCGUAAUUUUUCCACCGUUGUGAUCACCGUUUCCUUCUCUACAGGUUAACCGGAGCAAAAUGCCCAAUCGCAAUGUGAGCCAGAGGAGCUGCCGCACCGAAGAGCCCCACCACCGAUGAGUUUCAGUUU
rnacentral:lncRNA from 1 species